UCUAUAUUUUAUAGUGUAUAAUAUAUAUAGAGUCCGGCUGGGAUAUCAAUAGCACCAAGCGUUUGGUGCUAUCGAGUUUUCUAUUGUUAGAUGUAACCCUUUGACUAUUUUCACUCGUUAGAUUAUUAUACUAUUAAACCAAUAACUCACUCAACCCUAAAUGGCCCAUAUCAUCCUAACCGUACAAUUUUUCAUCCAAGGGCCGAAAAUCUAAUAGUACCAAUAACUUGGUGCUAUUGAUAGUAUUCCAGCCUAGUUCAUAUUAGACCUGACAAACGAGUGGAUUGGGUAAACCGUGGGCGGGUCAUUAUACUCGCGGGUUACUUAGGCAUGGGUAAAAUUUACCCGCAAAUUUUUGGAUAGCCAACAUCAUUAUCCAUACCCGCCCGCGGGUGGGCGGGUGGGUAUGCGGGUUACCCGCAAUUUUUUUUAUUUUCUUUUUUAUAUUUUUUAAAUGCAAAAUUAGACCUGACAAACGAGUGGAUUGGGUAAACCGUGGGCGGGUCAUUAUACUCGCGGGUUAC
rnacentral:lncRNA from 1 species